rnacentral:rRNA from 1 species
ACGGGAGGCAGCAGUAGGGAAUCUUCCACAAUGGACGCAAGUCUGAUGGAGCAACGCCGCGUGAGUGAAGAAGGGUUUCGGCUCGUAAAGCUCUGUUGUUAAAGAAGAACGUGGGUAAGAGUAACUGUUUACCCAGUGACGGUAUUUAACCAGAAAGCCACGGCUAACUACGUGCCAGCAGCCGCGGUAAUACGUAGGUGGCAAGCGUUAUCCGGAUUUAUUGGGCGUAAAGCGAGCGCAGGCGGUCUUUUAAGUCUAAUGUGAAAGCCUUCGGCUCAACCGAAGAAGUGCAUUGGAAACUGGGAGACUUGAGUGCAGAAGAGGACAGUGGAACUCCAUGUGUAGCGGUGAAAUGCGUAGAUAUAUGGAAGAACACCAGUGGCGAAGGCGGCUGUCUGGUCUGCAACUGACGCUGAGGCUCGAAAGCAUGGGUAGCGAACAGGAUUAGAUACCCUGGUAGUCCAUGCCGUAAACGAUGAUUACUAAGUGUUGGAGGGUUUCCGCCCUUCAGUGCUGCAGCUAACGCAUUAAGUAAUCCGCCUGGGGAGUACGACCGCAAGGUUGAAACUCAAAAGAAUUGACGGGGGCCCGCACAAGCGGUGGAGCAUGUGGUUUAAUUCGAAGCUACGCGAAGAACCUUACCAGGUCUUGACAUCUUCUGACAGUCUAAGAGAUUAGAGGUUCCCUUCGGGGACAGAAUGACAGGUGGUGCAUGGUUGUCGUCAGCUCGUGUCGUGAGAUGUUGGGUUAAGUCCCGCAACGAGCGCAACCCUUAUUACUAGUUGCCAGCAUUAAGUUGGGCACUCUAGUGAGACUGCCGGUGACAAACCGGAGGAAGGUGGGGACGACGUCAAAUCAUCAUGCCCCUUAUGACCUGGGCUACACACGUGCUACAAUGGAUGGUACAACGAGUCGCGAGACCGCGAGGUUAAGCUAAUCUCUUAAAACCAUUCUCAGUUCGGACUGUAGGCUGCAACUCGCCUACACGAAGUCGGAAUCGCUAGUAAUCGCGGAUCAGCAUGCCGCGGUGAAUACGUUCCCGGGCCUUGUACACACCGCCCGUCACACCAUGAGAGUUUGUAACACCCAAAGCCGGU